UGGGGCAUAGUUUAAUGGUAGAACAACGGACUCUGACUCCGUAUAUAUUGGUUCGACUCCAGUUGCCCCAACCA
rnacentral:tRNA from 1 species